rnacentral:rRNA from 1 species
GAUCAUGGCUCAGAACGAACGCUGGCGGCAGGCUUAACACAUGCAAGUUGAACGGGAACAUACGAUAGCUUGCUAUAGUAUGUGAGAGUGGCGCACGGGUGAGUAAUACAUGGGAACAUACCUUAAAGUGGGGGAUAACUUCUGGAAACGGAUGCUAAUACCGCAUAUACCCUGAGGGGGAAAGAUUUAUCGCUUUAAGAUUGGCCCAUGGCAGAUUAGGUAGUUGGUGGACGGUAACGCCACACG